GGAAUUUCAGCUAGAAACAUGGCCAAUAUUAUCUCUGGAUUCUGGUAGAGGUGCUUUGUGGUACUCUAUGUUUUUGUAAAUGCAUUUCAGUCAAUACAAAGAUUGCUUCAGAAUUGAGAUUGUGCAGCUAUUUUUGUUCGACAGUGUGAUGUAAACUUUGGCACUUACCUGUUAAUGGUUACUUCUUGUUGUUGUUGACCUUGCCUUUUCAAGGUCGCAUGUAAUGCAAAUUUGUCUCAUGGAAGUUAUUUG
rnacentral:misc_RNA from 1 species